GUGGGGAAUAUUGCACAAUGGGGGAAACCCUGAUGCAGCGACGCCGCGUGGAGGAAGAAGGUCUUCGGAUUGUAAACUCCUGUCGUUGAGGACGAUAAUGACGGUACUCAACAAGAAAGCCACGGCUAACUACGUGCCAGCAGCCGCGGUAAAACGUAGGUGGCAAGCGUUGUCCGGAAUUACUGGGUGUAAAGGGAGCGCAGGCGGAAGCGCAAGUUGGAUGUGAAACCCAUGGGCUCAACCCAUGGCCUGCAUCCAAAACUGUGUUUCUUGAGUAGUGCAGAGGUAGGCGGAAUUCCCGGUGUAGCGGUGGAAUGCGUAGAUAUCGGGAGGAACACCAGUGGCGAAGGCGGCCUACUGGGCACCAACUGACGCUGAGGCUCGAAAGCAUGGGUAGCAAACAGGAUUAGAAACCCCAGUAGUCC
rnacentral:rRNA from 1 species